UCAGGUGAUGACAGCAUAAGGGCUCCACCUCUUCCCAUUCCGAACAGAGAAGUUAAACCUCACCACGUCGAUGAUACUGCGAAAGUGGGAAAGUAGAUAACCGCCCCUU
rnacentral:rRNA from 1 species